GCUUACGUCUCUCGAUCCUCUUGCAGAGAAUGUCACUGCUGUGACCUCCAACCACACGAGCCAGCCCACCAGCACCAUGAGACAGCCGACGACCCCACAGUCUUCCGCGUCCAAGACCGAGACAGUCACAGCCUUGACAUCCACAGCAACACCUCGAAUUACAACACCCGCAGCCUCCGCCAACAGGACUAACAGCAGCUCAGUUUCACAGAACACAACCCAGACGACGCCGGCCACAGUGACCAGCACCGCCCACAACAGCUCAGCCACGUCCACUUCUUCAUCUGUAACGAUCACACCAACUAUUAAUUCUAAAGGAAAUCCAAGAUCAAAAUUUGAUAUUGGCAGCUUUCUCGGCGGUAUUGUGUUAACACUGGGAGUUCUGUCGAUUCUUUACAUCGGAUGCAGAAUGUACUAUUCGAGAAGAGGCAUUCGGUAUAGAACCAUUGAUGAACAUGAUGCCAUCAUUUAAGGAAAUCCAAGGACCCAUGGAAAGAAGAUUGAUAACCCUAUCAAUUAAUUUUAGUUAUUCUUGAAUACACAGGCCAUGCAUAAUGUACAAUGUACUACAGAAACAUGUAGAUUCCUGUUACUAAAGGUAAAAAGGGUUUGGUUUGGGUUUUUUAAAUGAGUAUUUGAAGCAUAUAGUUAAUGUUAAAAAACACAUAGUAAGACAAGUCCACCCCUUCUGUGUGGCGCUGGUCACACAGGAGAGUAACUGGAAGACCUCGUCCCUGAAGGGCGCUGUGCCCUCUGCACCCACAGAUGCGGGCCUUGGGCUUAUCGUACAGCUUAGUACCGGGUUUAGAAACAAAAUGCACUGCCCUCAGCCCCCGCUCAGAACUAGACUGCGAGAGAGCCUGUGUUCUCGUUACAGCCUCUUUUGAGCUUUCAAUGGCAAUGCAGCUAAAAGUAUUUUUGCCUCUGUGUAAUUUCAGUAAACUGCAAUGUUGAACAAAGUUUUAAAGAUGGAGUUAGGUUUUUUGCUACUGCAAGACUACUGGAAAUUGCUUUAUUUCAUAUGCAACAGUUAAUUUUAUGUUUAGGGAAUAUUUGUAAGAGGUGUAGAGCUUCUUUCAGUAGCUAGGAUCCUGUACGACGCAGAGUCAGCCUCCCUACCUUACGCCCCCUCUGCGAUUUCCAGACAACCUGCAGGGCUCGGUCCCUCAGCCCAGGGAGGACGGCCUCCACCUGGAGGGGGACAAUGCUGCAUUUUUAUACUAAAGAAAUCUUUGUAUUGGGAUUAAUUCUCAAGUUUUUAAAACAAACUUUUAGGACUCUUCAGGCCCCUUGUCUCCCGUGGAGGGGACUCAGCUGUUUUACGGUAAGACCACAGUGUUCGAGGGACACCCAUGUCCGUCAACGUCGGUCUGAGGGUUCGGCUUAUAGUUUAUAUUACAGCAGCCAAAACUCAGGGUCAAGUUUGGCAAAAAAAAAAAAAGUAUUUAGUCCUACUAAAUGACCAGCCAAUAUAGAAAUACUGUAUUAGAUGUCCUAAUGACACCACUCUACAUCGAAUAGGAUUUAAAUGUAACUUGUGAUCGGCUUUUUGUUUUCAGAGAAUGCCAAGAAUUUUUAUAUAAAAGCAUCAUUUCUACUCACUGUGCACUAGGGCCCACUGAGGUGAGGUGCACGGUGGGCCCCCAGUUUGCAGAGAGGUGGGCUGCUUAGUAACCUACAACGCACCUGCCUGGUCUCGAACUGCUUUUAUGUCUUUGCAAAAUAUACUUACAAGUAUAUGCUUCUAUCUUAUGGUGGGGGCCUUUAAACCGAACUUAUUCCGUCUCUUGCCGGCUUGACGCCCGUCAGAACCUUGGAGCCAGGCCUGUUUCUGCAGCACGUGGAAGAAAUGCCAUUAAACCCCUUUCCAGCUGCCUGUGCUUUGGGUCUAAAAACUGCCUUCUCUGUCUGGAAGCGGGGGCACGAACCACUGCUCCCCCAGGGCGCACAUUUCCUAAGCCUGUAAUUCAUGUCCUAAUUAUGUUUACUUCAGCAGAUACUUCUGUUUGCGUUCCUUGAGAAUGUAAUUUACUUGAAGAUCUCUCAGAAUCCAAUCAAGGACUUUAGAUAAUCCAAAACAUGAGUAUUUCCCAUACAGAUAAAUGAGAAUGGGCAAUUUAUUAGUAAGAAUUUUGUAUUUUUCAGGAGAAACAAAGCAAAUUCCUUUUCUCUUUUUAUUAUAAUGACCAGCUUUUGGUAUUUCAUUGUUACUGAGAUCUAUUUUUAGAAUAAAAUUUUGUUCUCCAUCUAA